GUCAUUUCUUGUUCUUCCGGAUAUCCAUGAGUCCGUGUUGUUUGUGUAGGUACAGAGCCUGCUGUCAGAGUUCGCACAUGUCCCGAAUCGAUCACUCAAUGGCACGCGUGGGUUUAUUUGCCCAGGCUAUUUGGUGUCGGCUCAACCCUCGCACUGCGCCCUUUAAGAAGGGUCUUCCCCCUCGAGUUCCUCGCGGAGCCGAGGAAAUUCCCGCACGGGGCUGGCACGGCCUUUCGGCCGCCCUCUGAUUGGGCGCGGGCGUCACAUGACCUGGCGCCGGGCGCCCAUUGGUCGGCCGCCGUGUCGGUUUCCGCAUUCCGGGCGGCGAGGGGCGUCCGGAGCGCCGAGUCCGGAGCAGCGUUAAAGGCGGCGGGGGAGCGCGGCUGGGAGAGUCGGGCCGAGCCUGAGUCUUGGUCUGAGAGCGCAGCCCCGCGGGAGAAGUUUGCGGUUCAGAACUUGGGUCGGUCCCGUCCUCCCCUCCCGGAGCUCGUGUCGCUCACAGCUGGCUCGCCGGACGGGCUGGGGUGUCUGUCUGAAAGGAAAGAGGCGCGUCUCUGUUUCCUGCUCAUCUCCCUCUUCACGACCACUUCCGCGGACACGGCUGCUGAACUUUCUCUCUCCACGCAGAGAGAGGGACACGGGCAAGACAGACAGGUACAGAGAGAGAGAGACAGGCAAGACAGACCAUUACAGAGAGAGAGAGACAGGCAAGACAGACCAUUAGAGAGAGAGAGACAGGCAAGACAGACAGGUACAGAGAGAGAGAGACAGGCAAGACAGACAGGUACAGAGAGAGAGAGACAGGCGAGACAGACAGGUACAGAGAGAGACAGGCAG
rnacentral:lncRNA from 1 species